GGAGUGGUAGCGGAGCGUUCCGUAAGCCUGCGAAGGGAUACCUGUGAGGGGUCCUGGAGGUAUCGGAAGUGCGAAUGCUGACAUGAGUAACGACAAAGAGUGUGAAAGACACUCUCGCCGAAAGUCCAAGGGUUCCUGCGUAAAGUUAAUCUGCGCAGGGUUAGCCGGCCCCUAAGGCGAGGCCGAAAGGCGUAGUCGAUGGGAACUAGGUUAAUAUUCCUAGGCCUGGUGGAUGUGACGAAUGGCGUAAGCUGUACCGACUUAUCGGAUUGUUGGUGCAGUGAUGCUGUUCCAGGAAAUAACACCACCGUAUAGACCGUACCCUAAACCGACACAGGUGGACUGGUAGAGAAUACCAAGGCGCUUGAGAGAACUAUGCUGAAGGAACUCGGCAAAUUGCUUGCGUAACUUCGGGAUAAGCAAGCCCCGUUAGAGGGCAACCUCUGGCGGGGGGCACAGACUAGGGGGUAGCGACUGUUUACUAAAAACAUAGGGCUCUGCGAAGUGGCUAACACGACGUAUAGGGUCUGACGCCUGCCCGGUGCCGGAAGGUUAAAAGGAGGGGU
rnacentral:rRNA from 1 species